GGACUACACGGGUAUCUAAUCCUGUUUGCUCCCCACGCUUUCGCGCCUCAGCGUCAGUCAAGGACCAGGUCGCCGCCUUCGCCACCGGUGUUCUUCCCAAUAUCUACGAAUUUCACCUCUACACUGGGAAUUCCACGACCCUCUUCCAAACUCAAGACUAACCGUCUCGAACGCACACCCAAGGUUGAGCCCUGGACUUUCACGCCCGACAAAUCAGUCCGCCUACGCGCCCUUUACGCCCAGUCAUUCCGAGCAACGCUAGCCCCCUUCGUAUUACCGCGGCUGCUGGCAC
rnacentral:rRNA from 1 species